CGGGGCGUGGCGCAGUCUGGUAGCGCACCUCGUUUGGGACGAGGGGGUCGCCGGUUCAAAUCCGGCCGCCCCGACCA
rnacentral:tRNA from 1 species